GGAGUGGUACAGUGCAGUUGACGGGGCUACAGUCUCAGUGUAUUCCCGACACAGUGAGAGAAACACCCCCUGGAUUUGGGACCAGAGCCAGUGAAAGAGGCACUUUAUCCCUAAAUCUAGAGCCAGGGGAAAAUACCCUAAUUCUGAAACUAGUGCCAAAAGAAAGCUCUUUGCCCCUUGAAUCGGAACCUGUAAAAGAAAUUUGCCCAGGCCCUAAAACUGGAGCCUAAAAGCCAAAAAGAACUAUAGAAAGAAACACGGUUUGGCCCUGAAAUCAGAGCCAUCUCUACCCCUGACACAAAACCAACUAAUCCCUGAGCAGGAAAAACUGGCCAAUCCCUGAGUAGUCUGGAGGCACGACUUGAAGCUAGGGAAAUAGUAACCCCUAGCCUAGAUACAUGUAGGGAUCCGUCCCUGCAUUCUCCAUUACAAUGAUGGCGCCUGCAGGCACUGAAUGUAAAUUAUUGCGCAGGCGCUGGGUAAUUUUCCAUUUCUUGAUCUCUGCCUAUUCCGUGGCAUCAUAUGGCCUUAUGAGCUGAAGCCAAUCAUAGGGUGACAAGUCCCAGGCGGCAGCUGCCAGCCUUUAUUAGGGGACGGGAUUCUUGGCUCGGGGUCUCCGCUCUGGUAAGCUUAUGCUCUCCUUUCAAGACACAUUAAAGCUUUACUGCAGAAGGAUCCGAAUGUCCUGUGUGGUUCUUGCUGGCGAGGCGAUAGCGCGGGACAGAUACAUACUUUGACGUUUUCUGGACCUUAGCCCUCAGGGACAGCCAAUACCAACCCUGAAGACUUGGAAUUCCCCAAGCUUUUUCCUGCAUAAAACCCCUUCCCUCACUGCCCAUGAUCUCUCCUCCUCUGCUGUCAGAUGGACAGAGGGACCUCAGUUGACUUGCAAAUAAAGACUCUUAUUUUUGCAUCAGAGUCGGUCUUGUGGUGGUGAUUCAUGUUCUGGACUUUGAGUGUAACAGAUCAAAGUUCAAGACUGUCCUGGUCUACAUAGCAAGUCCCAGGACAGCCAGGGC
rnacentral:lncRNA from 1 species